CGUGGUUGUACACUCCAGAAUUUCAAAGGAAAGAUCAUGUGGGACAUGAGACGGUUGCUACAAAACAUUGGCCAGAGAACUGGGAGUUUUUGACCACUGACUACGAAGAACUUGUACGGGACCAGUUUCCCAAUCGCGAGCCGGACAAAGAGAAGAGGGAUGCCGCCAAGAAAGCUGUGAAGAACCUGAUCGAAGUGCCGCCCGUCACCCCCAU